rnacentral:rRNA from 1 species
GUUGAACGCUGGCGGCAGGCUUAACACAUGCAAGUCGAGCGGUAACAGAGAGAAGCUUGCUUCUCUGCUGACGAGCGGCGGAUGGGUGAGUAAUGCCUAGGAAUCUGCCUAGUAGUGGGGGAUAACUUGCCGAAAGGUAAGCUAAUACCGCAUACGUCCUACGGGAGAAAGGAGGGGACCUUCGGGCCUUUCGCUAUUAGAUGAGCCUAGGUCGGAUUAGUUAGUUGGUGAGGUAAAGGCUCACCAAGACCGCGAUCCGUAACUGGUCUGAGAGGAUGAUCAGUCACACUGGAACUGAGACACGGUCCAGACUCCUACGGGAGGCAGCAGUGGGGAAUAUUGGACAAUGGGGGGAACCCUGAUCCAGCCAUGCCGCGUGUGUGAAGAAGGUCUUAGGAUUGUAAAGCACUUUAAGUUGGGAGGAAGAGCAGUUAACUAAUAUUUGACUGUUUUGACGUUACCGACAGAAUAAGCACCGGCUAACUUCGUGCCAGCAGCCGCCGCCG